GAUAUUUUCAGCUAUCUAUUCUCUCUCUGCCCUUUUGUUUGGAAGACCCGAACUCGGAGGCCGCAUGCCGUGAGGGGGACCGAGGGGAAAAGACGGGAGAGACUUUUCCAACAUAAUUAACCUUCACUCUCUCCAUUUGCAGCGGCGCAUGCAGGGACGGCGGGCUGCGCUCGGCUGCGCCGCGGGAACGUGGAAGACGGAGGACACCUGCUCGCCGCGGCGACACGGAGACAUGUCCGGGCCUUUGGAGAAACGUGGAGAAUUCAGAGAAACGGUGGCCUGAGUUUCAGCGGGCAGACUCGACGCCUCUCCGCAAAUAAGCUUCAAGGUCUUCUCGGCCUCAACGAGCAACGCUUUGAAGCGAUGUGGAAACGGAGAUGAUGGAAUAAGCGGCAGCUGAUGGGACGCCAUUCGGAGGCGGCUCUUAUCUAAUCAGGAACCGUCGGAAAGGGCCGACUGCAUCACAGAGGACAGGCGGCUGCAGGAUAAGUGAAUGUGAGGAGGCCACUGGGCUCAUUGUGCUGCAGCAGACGCAGCGAUCAGCCAACAGGACACCCGGCUUCAGCUCUUUGCCCGAUUUGAGUCAUGGCUUCGGUUAAAAAUUCAUGACGGUGUGUUAGCUGUUGCUAAGGGCACGCUAAUCGACUGGAGUGAGAUUUAUAGUGCAGUUUCUGCACUAGAUGGAAAGGGAGGGGGUCAGGGGUCAUUAUGCUGCAGAAGACGGUACGGCAGGCCAGCUUAGCAUAAAAUCGGUUCAGUCUGACUAAUUGCAUUCUACACUGCAAAAACACAAAAUCUUACCAAACAAUUUUGGUCUAGUUUCUUUGUUCAAGACACCAAACUGAUUUAGAGACUCUUGACUACUCAGAUUUACACUUAAUAUUGAUGCUAAUUAAGAUAUCUUUAAUUGGAGAUGACUAGUCAAAACAUUAAAAAAUAUUACUUCACGACAAAUCAUAAUUUAAUUCUUAAUAUUUGAAAUCUUAAAUGUAAUAGUAGAUAUCUGCAGUGACACGUCUGGUCAUAAAGCAGAGCUUGUUGAAUCAGAUUUUGUGGUAAAACGGCCUGCCGUACAGACGGGUGAGUCAGAACCUGGCACACGCCGGGUUCCAGGUGGCCUUUCCUAAACCGUUUCCAUCUCUUUUUCCACUGUCUUGUCUUUUAUUAUCUGUUUUUGAAAACAAAGCUGUCAUUUUACGUCUCCUCUGCUCUGAUUCAUCCGACUCUCCCGACUUCAAACCGCCGCCGCCGUCAUCGGCGCCUAAUGUCGAAAAGAUGUCCCCCGGCUCCUUCAGAAAGAGGACGGGACGGUCGUUUGGCCCCCCGCCCGGCGAAAGGUGCAGCACAUGGAAGCCAUUUCAGGCCCGGCGCGCAGCGCGCUCUCCCGGGUCCGGCAGCGUUUACAGCAAACUAAAACCAACGGAAUCAGCUGAAAUGGAUGAAACACCUUCGUUAGCUGAAAUAUUUAAAAACUGUAACUAAUGGGGGAAAACAAACUAACUGGAACUACAUGGCAAGUUUAAAAAAUUAACUAAAACAUCCUGAAAUCAUAGAUUUAAUAACGUUUUCGUGUUAAUGGAUCUUUUUGUUAUCCUUUUGAACUGA